rnacentral:rRNA from 1 species
UCUUACCUACGGGGGGCAGCAGUAGGGAAUUUUCGUCAAUGGGCGCAAGCCUGAACGAGCAAUGCCGCGUGAACGAGGAAGGUCUUCGGAUCGUAACGUUCUGUUGAAGGGGAAAAAGAGCGGAGAGAGGAAAUGAACUCCGAUUGAUAUUACCCUUCGAGGAAGUCACGGCUAACUACGUGCCAGCAGCCGCGGUAAUACGUAGGUGGCGAGCGUUAUCCGGAUUUAUUGGGUUUAAAGGGUGCGCAGGCGGAGGUGCAAGUCAGCGGUCAAAUUGCGGGGCUCAACCCCGUACUGCCGUUGAA